AGGAGGCCAGUUUAGUAUCUGGACUCAUCUACUACAGAGCCAUGCUGUUGUAAUUGGUGCAAAUGUAAAACUUCUUCCAGUAUAGACGGGUUUCUGUGCAACGUCCUCACAGGUAUGUAUGCGCAUGUGUUAUGUCCCGUACCAAACAUAACUCGCCCACUCUCUUCCAGCAACUGCUUGUUUGUGGGGGUGUCCUGAUCGGUCGAUCAGGUCUAACUCGGUGUUACGGUGUGUUUGACCAUAAGUUAAUUUUACGUCAGAAUAUCCCUUUAAUGAUGCCAUCCCACUUAUGAAUCUCUAUACCAACAUGGAUACUGGAUUUUGUGGUGUUUACGGAUAAAAAGCUACAUGGCCCCUCCCCUAUUUGGAGCAGAGGAUAAGGUGUCAAUGAUUUCCAAAAGGAAUGUCAAAUUUUGAUUUGUGUGACCACUUCUGUAAGUUCCGUCUUCGUUGUUGUUCCUGGGUUAUAUUUAUAUAUGGUUUCCUCUUUGCACGGUGCUGUUAAAGCCUGCAUCUGUGGAGGCGGUGACCAACUGUGUUCACAGACACUCGCCAAAACAAAUCCCAAUAUUAUAGACCUCUUUAACAAGACAGUGUUUCCCUUCAGUUGUAGCCAAACACAAAGUAUCUCAAAUAGUAGAAUAAACAGGUAAGAAAGAUAAGCUGAUUGUGUUUUAGCCAACUCUGUUUUUCACAUUUCAACAUGGUAUCCAUCUACAUUUAGUCCCAUUUUGGAAACAUGCCUGCACUGCUCAAUAAAACCAUACCUCAGACACAACAUCCAUAAAAGCAGACAUAAAUCUCCAAGUGGAGACUUAUACAGACUUGUAUAAAAUACAUGUUUAUGUGGUGCGACAGCUCACGAAGGUAAAAGCUGAGUCAGUAUCAUUACAGCAGUAUGAAAGGCAGCUUCUCUAGUGCCUGUCCACAGAGGGCUGUAUGGUUAAUGUAUGAACAGCUGUAUGUCCCACUGUGUUGUUCCAUAGCUUGCUGGCUCAAAUGGAAGGCCAUACAUAAUUAAAGAAGAGGAAAGUGCACAGUGACCCGUUGGUCUUGAGGUUCUUGGCCUCUUUUCUCAGCAGGAGGAGGAGAGAGGAGAAUGGUCAGAUAAGGCAUGUCAGGAAAAUUGACCCCUCACCUACCUGCCUGUGGUCACCUCUGAGUCUUACAACAUGAGUGUGGAUCUUUUAGUCUCCUCAUUUGGGAUUGUGAGGCUAGGGAAGUCAUUCAAUUUGAAAGGACUAAAGCAGUGAAACAAAUGCUCCUUUAAAUAAACAUCACUUAAGUUUGAAUGAAUAAUUCCUAGUAUGAAAAGAAGUCAUAUUGAAGCUUAUAGUUUAAACUUUUAUUUCCCUUUCCUCACAGAAAUAGGAUCUAAAUGAAGAAAAGGAACAAGUGCAAAGCUGAGCUUUCCAAGGAGGGAGUAGGCUCAGAAAGUAAACAGUAAGGACACAGUCUCUCUUUCAGGACUGCUGAAACGGUUUCAGUGGAGCAGCCUGUCACCAUUAAC